GGAGGCUCGGGGCCAGCCUGAAUGUCAACUAGUCCAAGAUGGAGGCUGAGGAAGGCGCCGAGUGUACCGAACGCCUGCGCCGACCCCCUCUUCCCGCCGCCACGCUUCCCACUCACGUCGACGAGAGUGUUUGCACCUUCUUCUUCUUGUGAGCUGACAGGAAAGAACGAGUUGGCGUGGAGGGAGCGAGGAGGCCUCUUCUUCUUCUUCUUCUUCUUCUUCCAAACAUGGCGGAGAGAGAGAGUGAGUGUUUAAAUGCAGGGUCGCGGGGGGCGCUGGCGCCUAUCUCAGCUACAAUCGGGCGGAAGGCGGGGUACACCCUGGACAAGUCGCCACCUCAUCGCAGAAAUAUGUUGGAUGAAAUUAACUUUUACACAAGCAGAAAUAUGUUUACUUUGUUGCACAUGCAGAAAGGUUUAAUGAAACUGUUUUACAUACAUAAAUACGUUUGGUGAACUAAACUUUUAGAUGUCGAAAUUUAUUAGGUGAAAUUAACUUUGUUGCACAUGCAGAAAUAUGUUGGAACUAACUUUGUUUCACACGCAGAAAUAUGUUAAAUGAAACGGACUUUGUUUCACAAGCAAAAUAUGUUUGGUGAAACAAACUUUUAGAUGUACAAAUAUAUUAGGUGAAAUUAACUUUGUUUCACAUGAAAAAAUACGUUAAAUGAUAUUAACUUUUAGAUGCAGAAAUAUGUUUAGUAAAAUUAACUAUAUUGUACAUGCAGAAAUGUUUAAUGAAACUGUUUUACAUACAUAAAUACGUUUGGUGAACUAAACUUUUAGAUGCCGAAAUUUAUUAGGUGAAAUUAACUUUGUUGCACAUGCAGAAAUAUGUUGGAACUAACUUUGUUUCACACGCAAAAAUAUGUUAAAUGAAACGGACUUUGUUUCACAUGCAAAAUACGUUUGGUGAAACAAACUUUUAGAUGUAGAAAUAUAUUAGGUGAAGUUAACUUUGUUUCACAUGAAAAAAUACGUUAAAUGGUAUUAACUUUUAGAUGCAGAAAUAUGUUUAGUAAAAUUAACUUUAUUGCACAUGCAUAAAUGUUUAAUGAAACUGUUU